rnacentral:snRNA from 1 species
UGCUUGCUUCAGCAGCACAUAUAUUAAAUUAGAAUAAUACAGAGAAGAUUAACAUGGCCCUUGCACAAGAAUGGCACAUACAUUCUCAAAGCAUUCUAUAUUUUA